UUUUUUUCUUUUUUUUUGAUAAAAGUGAAUUAGAUAAGUAUGAUUCAUCAGGAUUCAAGGUUGCUACCAGACUUAACAACAUAAUGUUGAACUUAACCCUUAGAAGUGUAGGCCAUGUGUGUUGUGAAAUUCUAAAGUAAAAAUUAUCUUACAACUCACUAAAAGAACUUUUAAUGAAAAGAACUCAAAUAGUCUUACUCCUGACUAAUCAUUGAGCUUUUUAGAUUUUAUAUACUUUGUGUAUUUAUCAUUUCAGCACUAAGGCAUAGAAAUUAAGUUUUUUUUUUCUUCUUUUUUUUCGAAAAAUUUAUUCAAAAAUACGAAAAUGCGAAAAAAUUUCUUUAAAAAUUUGAAUCCUAUACCCCCCAACCUAGAUCAGACAUUGUCCUCAAUGUUUUUUUUAUUUUUUAUUUUAUUUUUUUUUGAGAUAUUAUAUUAUGAUUUUUAUUUUUUUUAUAUAUUUUUUUAUUUGGGAUGAAAAUAUGAUGCAUAUGGAGUAUAGAAGCAUG
rnacentral:lncRNA from 1 species